AGAGCGAACGCUGGCGGCGUGCUUAACACAUGCAAGUCGAACGCGCAGUCUUCUGUAGCAAUACAGGAGGCCGGCGCGUGGCGAACGGGUGCGUAACACGUGGAUAACCUUCCUUCAGGUGGGGAAUAACCCAGUGAAAAUUGGGCUAAUACCGCAUAACAUGACGAUGGCACAUGCCGUUGUCUUCAAAGCCGCAAGGCGCCAGAUGAGGGAUCCGCGGCCGAUUAGCUUGUUGGCGAGGUAAUGGCUCACCAAGGCAAUGAUCGGUAGCCGGACUGAGAGGUUGGCCGGCCACACUGGAACUGAGACACGGUCCAGACUCCUACGGGAGACAGCAGUGGGGAAUUUUGCGCAAUGGGGGAAACCCUGACGCAGCAACGCCGCGUGGAGGAUGAAGCCCCUUGGGGUGUAAACUCCUUUCGAUCGGGACGAUUAUGACGGUACCGGAUGAAGAAGCACCGGCUAACUCUGUGCCAGCAGCCGCGGUAAUACAGAGGGUGCAAGCGUUGUUCGGAAUUAUUGGGCGUAAAGGGUGCGUAGGCGGUGCGGUAAGUCUCUUGUGAAAUCUCCAGGCUCAACCUGGAGCCUGCAAGGGAAACUGCCGUGCUAGAGUAUGGGAGAGGUGAGUGGAAUUCCCGGUGUAGCGGUGAAAUGCGUAGAUAUCUGCAGGAACACCCGUGGCGAAGGCGGCUGGCUGGACCGCAACUGACGCUGAGGAACGAAAGCUAGGGGAGCAAACAGGAUUAGAUACCCUGGUAGUCCUAGCCCUAAACCAUCAGGACUUGGGGUGGCCCGCGUAGGCGGGUCGUCCCGUAGCUAACGCGUUAAGUCCUGCGCCUGGGGAGUACGGUCGCAAGACUGAA
rnacentral:rRNA from 1 species